rnacentral:lncRNA from 1 species
AUGGAUAUAGCCACAAUAAAGCAGCAAAUGUAUAUUUUUAUAAAUUUAGCCAAGUUAAAGAAAUCUAACUUAAGCCAAGAAUUAAGUAUCUUACAUUUUGAAAUCGCGAGGGUAUUUUUUAUUUUUUAAGACAAUGAUAUUAAAGACAAAUGAUACAGCAUAACACAACAGCCACAAGAAAUUAAAUUAUACCUAUAUCUCCUUAGGAACUUAGGCACAAUAAAUGGACUGAUAUAUUGUAACGCAAUAUCUGCAAGAUAUUGAAACAAUAUCUGUCUAUAUCUAUC